rnacentral:rRNA from 1 species
GAUGAACGCUGGCGGCGUGCCUAAUACAUGCAAGUCGAGCGAACAGACGAGGAGCUUGCUCCUCUGACGUUAGCGGCGGACGGGUGAGUAACACGUGGAUAACCUACCUAUAAGACUGGGAUAACUUCGGGAAACCGGAGCUAAUACCGGAUAAUAUAUUGAACCGCAUGGUUCAAUAGUGAAAGACGGUUUUGCUGUCACUUAUAGAUGGAUCCGCGCCGCAUUAGCUAGUUGGUAAGGUAACGGCUUACCAAGGCAACGAUGCGUAGCCGACCUGAGAGGGGGAUCGGCCACACUGGAACUGGGACACGGUCCAGACUCCUACGGGAGGCAGCAGUAGGGAAUCUUCCGCAAUGGGCGAAAGCCUGACGGAGCAACGCCGCGUGAGUGAUGAAGGUCUUCGGAUCGUAAAACUCUGUUAUUAGGGAAGAACAAAUGUGUAGUAACUAUGCACGUCUUGACGGUACCUAAUCAGAAAGCCACGGCUAACUACGUG